CGGGUGAGUAAUAUAUCGGAACAUACCCAGCUAGUGGGGGGAUAACUAUCCGAAAGGAUAGCUAAUACCGCAUACGAUCUGUGGAUGAAAGCAGGGGAUCUUCGGACCUUGUGCUAUUGGAAUGGCCGAUAUCUGAUUAGCUAGUUGGUAGGGUAAAAGCCUACCAAGGCGACGAUCAGUAGCUGGUCUGAGAGGACGACCAGCCACACUGGAACUGAGACACGGUCCAGACUCCUACGGGAGGCAGCAGUGGGGAAUUUUGGACAAUGGGGGCAACCCUGAUCCAGCAAUGCCGCGUGAGUGAAGAAGGCCCUCGGGUUGUAAAGCUCUUUUGUCAGGGAAGAAACGGAGUUCUCUAAUAUAGGAUUCUAAUGACGGUACCUGAAGAAUAAGCACCGGCUAACUACGUGCCAGCAGCCGCGGUAAUACGUAGGGUGCAAGCGUUAAUCGGAAUUACUGGGCGUAAAGCGUGCGCAGGCGGUUUUGUAAGUCUGAUGUGAAAUCCCCGGGCUCAACCUGGGAACUGCAUUGGAGACUGCAAGGCUAGAGUGUGUCAGAGGGGGGUAGAAUUCCACGUGUAGCAGUGAAAUGCGUAG
rnacentral:rRNA from 1 species